AUCGCGUAGCAUUAUUUAGGUUUGUAAUAUUUCCGUCGAUAUGCAUUCAUGUGCAUAAUGCAUUUCAUUCAGGAACGUUAAUUAAUCGCGUGAUGCGGAGAAAAAGACGACCCAAGUCGACCCCAAGCGCGGGCUAACCCGCAGGAUGAUGUUGAUGGACAGAACCGAAGAGGGAUAAUCUGGCGAAUGUCAAGACAGAAGAUGAUCGCCAAGUGGUCGCCUAACAAACACUAACCUAGUGUUACUCAGGCAAGCCCCGGUGCAUGCAACCCCUUCCUUGUGUUUUUAAAUUAUUUUUGCACACUUUAAGUCUAGUGAAAUGUGCAUUAGGUUUAUAGAAGUUGCUUGGAAACCCUUCGAUGCAUUGCCUACCUUGAAAUCCAUCCCUUUUAUAGAUACUUCUGGUGAAGUAUCAAAAUAUGAUUUACAAAAAAAUGCUUAGCCCUGCUUAUAGGCAGAUAGAGUUUGUCCUUUGCACUUAUGCCUAGCUCAGGUUGAUCCUGAGGAAGGAUGACCUCUACCUGCACGGAUAUUUUCAUUGGGAGCAUGGUGGGAUCUUACUGUAAAGUUCCCUAUAAUGCUCUUUUCAUCCUAAGGAAUACAAACAAUCCUAAGGGUGGAAGUACUUAAAUCGGGACUUGGGCUAGGAACAGGUGAUGCUCCGCCCGGGUCAAUUAAGGAUUGGAUGCGUAUGUAGGCCUGAUAGAUCAAGGACUAUCUUAACUGGCCACAUGCCCUGGAAAUGGGACAGGGUAAGCUUGAACCCGGCUAUUCCAUACGUGAAAAGACAACCGCGCACUAGGCGUGGGAGAUGGUGGGAGUAGCGUGUGCCCUCCUGGCUAGAGGCUGGAUGGAGGAGUACUGUGCUCCCGGGUAGCGCGGACCGGUUCACGUUGUGGAGGAUCUGUAGGAAUGGUUGACAUAUGCAAGGGUUAAGUGCUACAUAUGUCGUGUGGUUAGAGAUCCUCAGCUGAGUAAAUCGAUUCGGAUCGCCGUUAUAUCCCCGGAGAGUGGAGACUUGAUCACUGACCUGCAACCUAAGUCAGGAUGUGAACCUCAUGAAUAAAAAUGAUGUUGUAUUGAUGAGAUGGUGAAAUUAGACCAGAUGCAAAUAGAGUCUAUUAAUAUUUAAUCUGGCGUUAAAAUAUUGAAAGUAAGGACUCACUUUAGUAAGCUAUUUCUGCAAAAGUAUCUAAGUUGAUUCUUGCUAAAGCCUCUCCUUGAUUCCCAAAUCCAGCAUACCCUUGAGAGUCUUUUCUUUAGUCGUGUAAGUCUUGCUGAGUAAUUCCAUACUCAGGGUUUUAUUCCCUGUUGUUUUUCAGGUUCUAGCUUUGUGCUGCUUUUGAUGGUGUUAAGUGCCGGUGGGCUCGGCCUUCUUAUAUAAGUAUAACCCGUCUUUAUCUUCUUACUGAGGAUGGUCAUUUGAGCUAGCAUAUAUUUCAAACUUAUACUUUUGUAAUCACUCCGAUAAAAUAAUAUAAAAUUUUUGUAACUUGUAAAAUUUGGUAAUAAGAUUUCCGCUGCAAAAAUAUUGGUGUGUGUGAUUUGUGUUACUUAAUCUCGCGGUUCUGGUUGUAAGUGGUUUAUCCGGUGUCCUUGGGGCAAUCGGACGGAUCCUGUUAAGUUAUCUGGUGCACAUGCAUGGCCGUCUGAGGCCUUUGAGACAAGGACAGGUGCAUGUGGGCCCGAUAACUUGGAGGUUCUGCCACAAUUUUAUCCUCUAAACUUUGAUAAUAGUUUCGUUUUUUCUAUCCUCAUUGUCUUGUUGUAUUUUUAAAGCUUUGCUCAGUAACAAGCUCUACAAAAAUGAACUCGAAAUUAAAAUACUUAAGCUAAUACGAACACAUCAGUGGUAACUUGUAGAAGGGUUCUUACUUUGAAGUUAGAAUAAAGCAGGCUGCCUAUGAUGUGAUGACGCAUGUAACAAUUGAUAUCCUUCUCAAGCUUUGGGAAUCCGACACUCUUCGACAGGGUGCCUAUAAUUUUUGCACCAGCACGAUCGCGGAUGCAUCCCAGGAUUUCUUCGUCGACCCCUCCAAAGAGUACCGACCCAGGCUAGUAACCACAUGAGAUCGCAAAUUCCCUUAACUCUGAUUUGUCCUCUUCAGAGAGUUGUUGGCCGCCCAAGUGUCGUAGGUCGAAAUUCACUCCCUCUGAAGAGGUUUCAUCAAUCUCUUUUCCCUUGUCUGAAAUGGUUGCGACCACCUCCUUCUCCAUAGCCACAUCUGAUAUCAGAUUAUCAAUCUCGGACAAAGUGGUUGCAAGUUUUUCACCUUCGGCUGUAGCAGUGGCUUCGGCAUCGGUUGGUUUGGCAGCUUUGCUUGCCGAAGCUGAAGGGGGGGUUUGUUCAAUCACUUGUAUAUGUUCACAAUGCGUCGUUUCUUCUGGCCCCUGUCUCUUCCUUCUGUAGCUGAAGAUACCUCCUUUUCCUGUAAGAUGUUGGUUAGUUCCAAUCCUAGAGGACUUAGUGGUGUGAAUGGGAAUGACUCGGUCAUUACCUUCAAUAUUUUUGAGACCUCAGCAGCAGAAGACGAAGGGCUUGCAAUUGGUUUCAGCACAUCUUGUGUCUUCGUCUUCUCUAAUGAUUCCACAGCAAGCUUCCAUUUCUUAGGAGUCAGUUCCUUCGGCUCCGUCGCUGUUUUCAUCUUCUUCAAAGCCUCUUGGUCUUCCUUCACAGACCAGGUAGCUUGUGAUAGUAGACGCGGCCCGAUCUUCCGUGAGAUACGAUAACUUGAUUGAGUGGAGAUCUCGACGUUGAUGAUCCAAGGCUCCGAACGAAUGGUUCCUCGCAAUCACUACACCACGGCUCCGUUGGUUAUCACCCGUGACACACGAAUGACCUCGCCACGAAGGCUUAUCCCUGCAAGCGCAAUCAAUAACACAAGCAAGAACAGGAAAGAAACACAACCAAAAUUGUAUUGAUUACGGGAUGGGGUCUCACAAGCCGAUGACGGCGACACUGUUCAAUGACAGAAUUGAUCUAAGCAAAACCCAAACCUAAAUGUGGCGGUGGCUGCUGAAUAAAUAGAGUAUUAGGGCGUGCGUGACCCCUGGACUCGCCCCUAAUGGGCUCCGACGCGAUACACGGCCCAACGGCCCAACAGACGGUGUCGCAGCACCAAAACAGAAUUUGAACGCUAACUUGUUUCGACGAUUCCCGUUGACUCCGGACGAAUUUUAGGGUGAAACCAGUUGGGUUGGUUAGAUAAUCUCGUUAUCUUUCCAACCAUAUCCAGUAUGUUGCAAUUGGAGUCCGGAUGCAUCUUGGGCGUCCAUUUUAGUGCAGACUGGUCCUGGAACCCAAGAUGGAGUCGUAGCCGAUUCGGACUUGAUCUCCUUCCUGUUGUGGACGCCCUUGCUGCUCCUCCUCAACACCUUGGCCUUUCCCAAGUCCUUGCUGGUCCUCUCCAAGGUACCUAAUCAUCAAAACAUCCAUGGUCCCAAGCGUAAGCUCUGAAACACAAUUGACUAGGGUAGAACAUACCUGGAAAUUUAGCUGUCGUGCAUGAGAUCGUGUUAUCGGUCCAUUCAUUGUAUGUAUAGAAGUGAUGUCCUCAUCCUCCUUCUCCUCUUGAAUUGGAGUCGUCCUCGACUCGAUCUCACCUUCGCCACCCAUAUAUGGCUUCAAAUCUGAAAUGUUAAAGGUGGAACUAACCCAAAAAUCUGGAGGUAACUCAGGUGGUAAUCCAGGGGGUAUCUCAGAGGGAAACACAUCCAUAUACUCUUGCAAAAGGUUAGCAAUAGCCGGUGGCAAAGCAAUAGAUGUAUCAUCAAUGGAAUAAAAACAUUUUUGCACACUAAGGCACAGCAAAGUCCAACAGAGGCAUGUAACUCAUCAAGAUCAGAUUUAAUGGCUAGCAAAGUAGGAGUUUUUAACUUAAUAGGUUGCUGAUUUUUAGAGUUCAAAACACCUUUUUGCUUAGCAUUAAUCUUUUUCUCAUGUUCUAAGUGGACCAUUUCAGUGGGAGUCAUAGGAAGCAACACAAUUUUCUUUCCCUUAUGCAUAAAAGUAUAUUUAUUAGAUCUACCAUGGUGAAUAGCAUCAGUAUCAAACUCCCAAGGACGUCCCAGUAAAAGAGAGCAAGCAUCCAUAGUCACCACAUCGAAAUCAGCAAAGUCAUGGUAAGAGCCAAUAGAAAAAUGCACCCUUGUUGUUUUUGUUACCUUGAACUUACCGCUGUUGUUAAACCAUUGAAUGUGAUAAGGGUGUGGAUGCUCUCGUGUGGUCAAGCCAAGCUUCUUGACCACCUCAACGUUCACCAAGUUGUUGCAGCUACCACCAUCAAUGAUGGUAUGUACACGACAGUCCUUGACGAUGAGGAACAUGUUGAAAAGGUUGUGGCGCUGUCUGUUAUCGUCGUCACUAGUCGUGGUACUCAAAGCUCGUUGCACAAUCAAGGCCUUAUAGGUCUCGGUCGCUAUUGUACCAAGAACCUCUUCAUCACCAUCAUAAGUCUCUGCAAUGUUAGCUCCAACAGUAUCUUCAUCUUCAACAUCAGAAGCACUAACAUACCCACCAUCACCAGUAGCAAUGUAUGCCCGUUUGCUGGGGCAAUCUCGUUGAAUAUGACCAAGUCCCUGGCAGCGGUGGCACUUGAUGUCGGAGGAGCGGCCUGUGGAAGAGGUGGUCGUAGCAGGUUUUGUUGCAACACCCGAAGGCACCAAGGACUUGCUGUUGUCGUGUCCCUGUGAUGCCGAAGGUGCGGUGCUGCGUGUGCCGUUGGUGGAGGAAGAUGUGGACGUCUGUACGCCCGAAGAGGAUGACACCUUGGCUGGCAACGGUGGCUGGUGUGGCACGAAAGUGCUGCUCCUCCGCUGUUGACGACCCUGCAAUUCUUUUUCUGCCAACAUAGAAAGAUGGAACAAGCGUUGUAUAGAAUGGUAUUCUUUAUAAUCAACAAUAUCCUGAAUCUCCCGCCUCAAUCCCCCAUAAAACCUAACCAUUUGAUCCUCCGGAUCCUCAACUACCCCACAUCGUAGCAUACCUUUCUGAAGCUCUUGGUAGUAUUCUUGUACCGACAUGUCUCCCUGAUCUAAGCGUUGCAAUUUUUUUCGAAGAUCACGUCUAUAAGAAGGGGGAACAAAGCGAGCUCGCAUCUCCUCUUUUAACGCAUUCCAUGUUUGUGGUGCAGCACGUGUGCUAACAAGUUCAUUCCACCAAAUGAUAGCAAAAUCUCUAAAUUCACUAGUGGCUUGUCUAACCCUAUGCUGCUCAGGAACAAGAUGGGAAUUAAAUUUUUGUUCUACCGUCAUCUCCCAGUCUAAGUAAGCUUCAGCAUCAUAAGAACCCAUGAACGGUGGAAUAGAAAACUUAAUCUUAGCAAAUGGAUCAUGAUCUGGUUCAGGAUUAUGAUGACGACGUCUACCAUUACCUCCCAUACCUUGUCGAUUACGUGCGAGGCGUUGUGGCAGCGGUGCAUACACAUCAUCGUCAUCCACAAGAGAGUGAGCUGGGGCUGGAGUUGGUGGUGGGGGACGAGCCUCCAGUACGUCCAUGAGUGUAACAAGUUCAUCAACUCGUCGAUCAAGCUGCUCAUAGGAUGUCGAGGCAGAGUCCUGGUAUUUUUUAAAAGCUUCAGUCAUCGCGCGCAUCAUCUCCUUCAAUUCCAUUUGAGAGAUACACUCAUCGUCGUUAAGUUUAGGCCCCUUGUCCUUGUCCAUUUGAUUCUUUGGUCCUGUCAUUGUUAGCACAAAGCAAAGAUAAAAAAAGGCAACAAACAAUGUGAACCCUACAACUAUCUCUCAGGGCGGUGGUGGACUACAAAUUAUGAAGCGUCUUACCCCGCUCUUACAAUGUUCUUGCCAGCACUGUAGGUGGCAAACGGUGACCGGUGUGACUGUCCAACGAGCGUGGGUGUGAUUGCAAAGGAGUACCUGUUCUGCUCCAGAGAAAAUUGGAGCUAUGGGAAGGCUGACUAAUUAUAUAUAUGUGGCACACAAGUCAGUAACAGAUAGCAAUGCUGAAUAAGUGUUCCAAGUACUCGUCCUAGUUGCUGGCCUAGAAAAUGUAAUAGAACAGUUGGACCAAGGCACAAGAAAGGAGGUACAAGUAUCUAGGUGCAGCAAGAAAAUAAGCUUGGGGCAAAAUAAUCACAGAGGUGCACAGAACACUGGCGUUUCUGUUUAUGUGCUACUCUUUUCUUUUUUUCUCUCUAUUUUUUUUGCGAUUUUUUUUCAAAUAUUUUUUUUAUAUUUUUCUCUUUUGCAGCAGCACAUAAGAAGAAAACACACCAAGUUUUAGAUUUUUUUGUGCAAUGACGCGUCCUCUGUAAUUUCUACAAGUUUGCCCUAAAAUCAAAAUAAAUGUUUGGAAAACGAGAAGUCCUAUUUCCAAGCCGAAUUUAGGAAUUUUAAAAACAGCGAAUCCGACAAAACGGGAAAGAAUCGGAUACAAAAUUUAAUUCUGUGUGAUUUGAAAAAAAAUGGGCCCGAUUCGAGUUCCGAGGCGAAAGUUACGGCUGUUUUAAGUUUGGACUCCGAAUCAGGAUUUCUGGCGAGGUGUUGGAAGAGUGGGAGUUCGGUUUUGUGGAUAGGGUCGGUUUUAGAGAUAUGAUCUAUUUUAUGGAUAGGGUCGGUUGUAGAGAUAUGAUCUAUUUUGUGGAUAGGGUCGGUUUUAGAGAUAGGAUUUGUUUUGUGGAUAUGGUCAAUUUUAGAGAUAAGAUCUGUUUUGUGGAUAGGGUCGGUUUUAGAGAUAGGAUCUGUUUUGUGGAUAGGGUCGUUUUUAGAGAUAGGAUUUGUUUUGUAGAUAGGGUCGGUUUUGUAGGAUGGAAGCGGAUGGAUAGAAUUAAACUGAACCCAAACAAAUCUAAUCUAGCAACCAUACUCAACUAGAACACGAACUCAAAAAUGCGAACUCUAAAACUGAAUUGUGCAAAGGCUAAGGCGAUGGUUUUAGGUCGGAAUAAACUGAUCGUAUUUUUUGGCUUUUUGUGGAAUAUGGGACGAAACAAAACUAAUCUAAAGGUAGAAUUAUACCUCACGGGCAACCUGGAAAUUUGAUACCAAUUGAUAGUAGACGCGGCCCGAUCUUCCGUGAGAUACGAUAACUUGAUUGAGUGGAGAUCUCGACGUUGAUAAUCCAAGGCUCCGAACGAACGGUUCCUCACAAUCACUACACCACGGCUCCGUUGGUUAUCACCCGUGACACACGAAUGACCUCGCCACGAAGGCUUAUCCCUGCAAGCGCAAUCAAUAACACAAGCAAGAACAGGAAAGAAACGCAACCAAAAUUGUAUUGACUACGGGAUGGGGUCUCACAAGCCGAUGACGGCGACACUGUUCGAUGACAGAAUUGAUCUAAGAAAAACCUAAACCUAAAUGUGGCGGCGGCUGCUGAAUAAAUAGAGUAUUAGGGCGUGUGUGACCCCUGGACUCGCCCCUAAUGGGCUCUGACGCGAUACACGGCCCAACGGCCCAACAGACGGUGUCGCAGCACCAAAACAGAAUUUGAACGCUGACUUGUUUCGACGAUUCCCGUUGACUCCAGAUUAAUUUUAGGGUGGAACCAGCUGGGUUGGUUAGAUAAUCUCGUUAUCUUUCCAACCAUAUCUAGUCCGUCGCAAUCGGAGUCCGGAUGCAUCUUGGGCGUCCAUUUUAGUGCAGACUGGUCCUGGAACCCGAGAUGGAGUCGCAGCCGAUUCGGACUUGAUCUCCUUCCUGUUGUGGACGCCCUUGCUGCUCCUCCUCAACACCUUAGCCUUUCCCAAGUCCUUGCUAGUCCUCUCCAAGGUACCUAAUCAUCAAAACAUCCAUGGUCCCAAGCGUAAGCUCUGAAACACAAUUGACUAGGGUAGAACGUACCUGGAGAUUUAGCUGUCGUGCACGAGAUCGUGUUAUCGGUCCAUUCAUUGUAUGUAUAGAAGUGAUGUCCUCAUCAGCUUGCCUGCUCAAAAUGCUGACAACUCUUUUUCUAUUUGCUCCCCCGGCCCCAUCAUCAAGUCUGUCAUAAUCUGGGUACUCAAAAUUUAGGGCGUCCAUCACCCGAUUCAACCUUCGUUUCAGCCGGGUGCCGAAGGCAGCAGUCAUUAACUGAUCUUCUUUCUUCGUGUAAUUUCCAAGGAUUUCAUUACACAUGGUUUCUAUCAUUUCUAGCCAUUCAGUACAUGGUUUUUUGAAUUGCUUUUCAAACUUGAAACGGAAGGGGAGUCAAACAAGUUCAUAUUUUUCCCUCCUUCCUUCUUCUUCGGCAUCCCCCAACCGCUAGAGGUUGAAAAAAGUUUUCUUCGCCAGAUAUUCCUGCAUUAAGUCCCUAGUGCUAAUUUGAGCAGCCACCACUCUGAAUUCAUGCAUCCCAUGAUUUCUUCGUCGACCCCGCCAAAGAGUACCGACCCAUGCUGGUAACCACACGAGAUCACAAAUUCCCUUAACUCUGAUUUGUCCUCUUCAGAGAGUUGUUGGCUGCCCAGGUGUCGUAGGUCGAAAUUCACUCCCUCUGAAAAGGUUUCAUCAAUCUCUUUUCCCUUGUCUGAAAUGGUUGCGACCACCUCCUUCUCCACAGCCACAUUUGAUAUUAGCUUAUCGAUCUCGAACAGAGUGGUUGCAAGUUUUUCACCUUCGGCUGUAGCAGUGGCUUCGACAUCAGUCGGUUUGGCAGCUUUGUUUGCCGAAGCUGAAUGGGGGGUUUGUUCAAUCGCUUGUAAUAUGUUCACAAUGCUUUGUUUCUUCUGGCCCCCGUCUCUUCCUUCUGUAGCCGAAGAUACCUCCUUUUUCUGUAAGAGGCUGGUCAGUUCCAAUCCCAUAUGACCUUAGUCAUUACCUUCAAUAUUUCUGAGACCUCAGCAGCAGAAGACGAAGGGCUUGCAAUUGGUUUCAGCACAUCUUGUGUCUUCGUCUUCUCUAAGGAUUCCGUAGCAAGCUUCCGUUUCUUAGGAGUUAGUGCCUUCGGCUCCGUUGUUGUUUUCAUCUUCUUCAAAGCCUCUUGGUCUUCCUUCACAGACCGAGCAGCUUGCCUGCUCAAAAUGCUGACAACUAUUUUUCUUUUUGCUCCACCGGCACCUUCGUAAAGUCUGUCAUAAUCUGGGUACUCCAAAUUCAGGGCGUCCAUCACCCGAUUCAACCUUCGUUUCGGCCGGGUGCCGAAGGCAGCAGUCAUUAACUGAUCUUCUUUCUUUGUGUAAUUUCCAAGGAUUUUAUUACACAUGGUUUCUAUCAUUUCUAACCAUUUGGUAUAUGGUUUUUUGAAUUGCUUUUCAAACUUGAAACGGAAGGGGAUUCGAACAAGUUCAUAUUUUUCCCUCCUUCCUUCUUCUUCGGCAUCCCCCAACCGCUAGAGGUUGGAAAAGUUUUGUUCGCCAGAUAUUCCUGUACUAAGUCCCUAGUGCUAAUUUGAGCAGCCACCACUUUGAAUUCAACUUCGGCCAGCUGGCAUGGGGAGCUGAGUUGCAUGUUGCACAACGGCCUCGUCAUGCCGAAGCUUAAUCUCAGAGGACUCAUUACCAUAGUCAUGAGUUUUUCUCUCUUCUUCUCAUCAGCCUUCACAUAGAACCAUUCGCUAGUCCACCCGGUCGGCGACUUAGUGCGGUAGCCAAUCACCGGGGCCUUAGUGUCCUUCCGGUAUGCAAAAUUAUAACAUCCAAAGUUUUUGUGAAGACCAUCGGAUCUAGCCUUCGUCUGAUAAUGCAACUCAUACACUCGGCAGUACCCUUCGGCAUUGGCACUUUUACCCUGGCUUCGGAGAGCCCAUUUGUAGACAUUGAUCCUGACAAUGGCAUUCGGUGUCAGCUAAUGGAGAUAUAUUUCAAAUCUUUUCAAAACUUCCACUACACGACGGUUGAUUUACAGUGACCUACGGUUGGUUGCUAAAAGCGCCUUCAGCGACCUACGGUUGGUCGCUGAAGACUUUUAGCGACCCAUAAGGAUGGUCGCUGUAAGUGCUAUCGCUAAAGGCUUUAGCGACUAACAUAUUUUUAACAAUCGACCGUAAGUUGCUGAUGUUAUACUUUUAGCGACCAAUUGUUGGUUGUUGUAUUAAUGUUAGCAACCAACUGUUAGUCAUCAUUAUAUAUAUUUAACAACCAACUGAAAGUCGCUCUGUUUAUAGUUGUUAUUAAUAAUAAUAUACAUAUAAUUAUAUAUACAAAAGAACCACAAACCAUAGAUUUUUAUACACAUAAUCACAAAGACAUACACAGUUGAUCAGUAUACCACAAUCAUAAAUCCAUCACAUAAACAUAAGCACCACAAUUAGAUAUAUUCACAAAAGCACCACAAUUAUAAUAUCAUUUACAAAAGCUCCAGAGUUGAUCUGUCACAAAAGCACCACAACGACAUCACUCUAGCUUCAAGCAGUUCAAAAGCCCACAACUACACUAAUGCUUGACAUCACUACAUCUAUAGUUCAAAAGGCCACAACUACAUCACUCCAUAGCUGAUCAGUCACAAAAGCACCACAACUACACUAAUGCUUCAAGCAGUUCAAAAGCCUUCACACAACCACUACAACUUAUUGUAUCCUCCUGUUUUAAGGAACAAGCUUUCUUUGUCCAGAAUGCCCUAUAAAAAGUACAACAAAUUAGUAUAUUGGUGCUACAUUUGCAAAUAAAAAUACAAUUUUGCUGCCUUAUCUACCUCCACUAGACGGUGUUGUUGCCUUUUCUACCAACUUCGGUUGAUGCAAUCAAGGAUAGUUGAUUAGUGAAUUAUACUCAUAUAAAUCUAAACAUAAACAAGAUAAGAUAUAGACUAUUACUUUCCACAUGGCACAAGGACAAGGCAAAAUUGUAUCUCGUUUCAGCACACAAGUUAUAAUAACUUCACAAUAUUGCCUUCCAAGGGUCAAACUUCAAGAUGGCAUAAGUUCCAAAUGUCAAAUAUUAAAGCUAAGGAUCAUCCAAUCAUUUGUGACCUAACAUUACCAGUCAAUGUACUACAUCAUCCUAACAAGACCAGAAGGCACACUUCGUGCCCCUACAAUGAUAAUGGCUAUGAUAAGUCAUAUCAAAUGAGAAUUAUCACAAAAUUAGUAAGCCAUAAUUUCACAGCAUAACACCAUAAUUUGUUUUGCCUAGGGCUGCCAUUCCUCCUCUCUAAUCCCCCUCUACUUCCCCCAAUUCUACCCUCUAAUUAAGGGGAAGUCACGCCUCCCCCAAUCGGAUGUGACACUAAUUCUGAAUAAUUAAGGCCCUAAGCACUGCUUUCACCUUAAAAGCAUCAUCUCACAAGUAGAUAAUAGUUCUGGAUGCUCGUGCUCUUUGGAAGGUCAUGAGCCUUUGUAGCAUGUACAAACUCCAUUACUCCAUAUAAGGUCUUAUUUGAAACACCAAUAUAGUGAAUUAUGAUAUUCUCGAUUUUCUUUUGUAUGAGCUAAUAGAACUGAGACAAAAACAUAGAACUACUAAAUGUGCCUCUAUUUACAGAACAAUUGCAUAUGUUGAAUAGCUAUCAUUUGUCUGAAAAAUACUUACAUGACUAAAUUCACCAAAUAGUGCCACAUACCUAUUUAGCCUGGAGACAUAAAGAAAAACUUUGGAAUGGAGGAUGUUAAAAUAGUAUGGCUCAAUUAAUUUAGUGUUAAGACAUAGUAUGUCUGCAAAUACAUAUAUUACCCAUUACAAAGCUAACCCAAGGACUGCUACCUGCCUUGACAUUUAGGCCUGUUAUUUCCUCUCCUAUAAAGCUUAAAUGAUGGGGGUUUUUUUAUUUGUAACAAUAAAACACAGCAAAGGAGCCGCCUAAAAGGAAAAUGGCAACUGACCCAGUUUAUAUACAGAACAAAAAUAGUUUCAAGAGACCUAGGGCACCCUGCUAACUACGUAGAGAGGUAGUUACACACAAUACAUUUCUUUGUCUGUACUUCGCAGGUAGGGAAGAAGUGGUAAAAACCUAGAGGAAUACAGAAGGCAAUGUGCAUAGUAUUUGUAGGGAUAAGCAAAGGUAACAUUACAUAACCUCAAAUGUUUUGUGAAAAGUUGCUUCUUAGCUAUCUGGUCUCAUGACUAUACGGUAGUAUUGUGCCUGUUAGUGGGUUAUAGUCUGCGUUUCUGUGACUUUUAUUUGCAAUAAUAUUUUACUCACUUAUAUUAAGGAGGACCAACAACAACCACCCUCUCCCAGCAUAAGCAAGUAGGGAUUGACGCAUAUAAGGAAAAUGUGUGUUAUACCUCCUCAUCGAUCACUACAAGAUCAGAAUGCAGAUGUUUUUUAUCAUCUCCAGGAUCAUAGAAGUCCCAUGUCCUAGUAACCCAAACGCAUAGACGCUCGCUGCAAAUGUCAUGACAAGAAAAAUAGAGCAAAUGUGAGGAUCUAUUAAUCCUGCACUCAAUAUGAACCAAGCUCAGGGGAGGGUGAGUGCGUGCCCUUGGGGAAAUCGUCGAGCGGGAGGGCCGACUGUAGUAGACACGAGAUCUUGAGGAGGCACGUGUUUAGGGCAUGCACCUAGGGGUCCAUCUCAGUGGUGAAGUUCUUCAUGAAGUCUUAGAGCAUGAUAGUCAGGCGUCACUCGUCCUCAGCACACCGCGUCUUACGCUUCUGUCCCCCAGUCCCCCCUCGUCGCCGGAGUUGUUGGCUGCGGAGUCGUAGUGGGUGCGACGACGGAAUGAGUCUCCGGCGCCCGGGCCAAAGCCAUCGCUGUUGUGGUGGGGCUCGGAAGAGUUGCUGUGGGGCGGGUUGGAAGAGGGCUCAAGUGAGGGAGCGGGCUAGGGUUUCGGCGGAAGCUUGGUCCCGGCUGCGCUACGGAGAGGUGGCGGCGCGCUGAGUGAGCGACGGGGUGGGGGCGGCACGACCAAGCGAGCGGGGUGGGGGCGGCGCGGCCGAGCGAGCGAUGGUGUGGGGGCGCGAUGGCGGUGUGCAGUGCGGGUGGCGGCACGCGGUGUGGAGCUCGGUUGUGUGUGGCGGCUGUGUGUGUGGUGAAAUAAGGUUUUUUGGUAAAUAGACUUUGAGAUGGGUACUGGAUUGAGAUGUGAAAUAGAACGUGGAUAGGGUUUUUCUUAUCCUGUUCUCGGCGUACUAGAAUAGAACGUGGGGCAUCUGUAAGUAAAUAAGAAAAACAACUAGCACAAUAGAUAGCAAAACCAAGGGUAGUCUAGUUGGUUAUGUCAUUCAUGUUUGAGUCAAUAGAUUCAAGGUUCAAAACCUUAAAAAUCGUUUUUUACAAUUCGUUUUCUUUUCCAUAAUUCUUUUUUUCUUUUCUACAAUUCUUGUUUUCUUUACUACAAUUUAGCGAUCAAUGUUUACUUGUUUUAAUUAAUUUUUAGUCACUAACAUCUACAGGUACGUUCAGGCUAUAAGAUUUGAUAGUGAUCCUUGCUCUAUAGCGACCCACCGCUAGUCCCCGACGACAUCUAUAGCGACCAACCAUAAAUUGUUAAAUUUCUAGACUUUUAGUGACCAACCGACCGUUGCUACAAAAGGAUUUAGCGACUGACCGCCAGUCCCUAACCUUUAGCAACCAACAGUUGGUACCUAAUAAGGGUCGCUAAAGAUCAAUCGUCGUGUAGUGUUCUCCUAUUAUAUCAUAUAGAGGAAACCACAGCCCUGCCCUGAAGAAGCUUCUAAACACAACAACUUCAUCUUCCUUCAGCUCCGAAAUCACUUCUUCGCCAGCAAAGCGAAUAAGUUUACUUUCAUCCUCCCAAAAUAGCCUAGUUUUUUCAUCAUAACCAGGUCCUCUUCUGUUACGGUCGAUUUUCCGAAUUCAAUGUGACUAGGUUUUGAUGGGCUUAGAAUACUGUUGUUUUCUUUGAUUCCAUCAUCACUUCUGUCUUCAACUACUUCCUGCUCAGCUUCGGUAGUUCCACCUUCGGCAAUAGUUCCUUCCGACACAAUUAGAUCUGAUCGUCUCAUCACUUCCGAUAUUGGCACUAUUUCUGUCACUUCAGCCUCAUCUCCCUCACGGGACACCCUAGCAGUGGAUCUUACUUGGGCCAUUUCAAGUGUUUUGGUUCCUUAAGACGAAGAUAAUUUCGAAGAUAAUUUCGAAUGACGAAGAGCUUGUUUGGAAAGCGCAAUCCAAAAAGCUUCGGCUUUAGUUAAAAAUUUUAACAGCACAAUGGUGCGAUGACAAUGAAUGUUGUGGUAACUCCUCACCAACAUGUCUGCUUAUAUAGUGCUGCAGGGGAAGAAGGCGAACUGCCAGACCGUCUACACUGACUGAACGGUGGAUCGACCGACGCUCAGAAUAUUUUAAUUGUUUUUCGAUAACAAGCUUAUGGAAGGUGUUUUUCGGACCUUCGGCAUUCCGAAGCCUUUGUGUUUUUCGCUGAUCGAGCUCAUUACGAAAAAACAAUCUAGCAUCGCGAAGGGGCUACUAUUGGGGGUCUUCUUCUCUACCGAAGGUCCUCAAGACAAAAACGCCUUCAUCAAAAUAAUACAAAGGCCGCUAAAGCUAUCAUCAACCUCGGUUCAGCCUCUAAAGACGAAGAUCUUGCGUACAAGCAACGUUGCAGAAUAACUUCGGCUCGGACUAAGCAAAGAAGGAAAAGGCUAGAUAGACCUUAUUAGUUUUAUUUUCUUGUAAAUAAACGUUCAAGGGUAUGGAUGUAAUUUCACCCGGGCUGCGUCCCGUGCCUAUAAAUAGAUGAACAAUAACACCGUACUGUUCACGCGGAAUUGUAAUCACACUCUCGCGACUUCAUCUUCUAAGCAAAGCAAGCCGAAGGUAUCAAUGUAAUAUUAACAUUGUUAAUAUUUCCAUGUGUUUUGCAAAAUGCAAAUAUAUAUAUGAAUUGAUGAAAUGCAGCAAUUAUCUUCGUUCGUUUAUAUUUUUAUUUAUAUAUUGAUCUAAUGAAGGUAUGUCCUUCUUAACCUUCGUAUAAUGAGCAUUUCUCCCUUGCGGAGACAAUGUUUCGGAAGCAUUUCUUCCUUGUGGAGACAAUGCUUCGGAAGACGAAGGUCAAUUAUAAUUAAUAAUUGUGUUGUAUUGUUCUUAAUUUAUAGCAUUCAAGAACAAGUGACCAACAACCUAUAUUUAUAGGGGAGGUCUGGACCUGUUUCUAAGAGAUAGUCAAUAACUUCCACGCGAUUAGAUGGAUAACCACACACGAGAUAAGGAUAAUCACCGAGUUAAUCUAAUCGCGGGGCACGUGGACUGUCCGGGCCCAAGAAUUGGACCUUCCGCCACUUUUGGUGCUCAACAAUUUCCUAUUGUCAUUCCUACUUUGCAGAAGUUACUGGUGCAACAACCAACUACACGUCAAUGAAGUAACUACUAACACUGCAUCAUUAGAAUAUUUUCCAUUGCAGAAUAAUCCCUCCAGUCCGGUGUUCUUUUUGUUUGGUGUACCGACCGGCCAGGUAUCCCCAAUUCUACAUUCAGGACUGUUGAGAACGCGUGGUUUAUUGAGCGAAGGGAGGUAGCAGCGAGGGGCUAACAACACGGUAAAUCUACAACUCAUCCGAGUCUUAGAAUAUUCGUAUUUUUUCUCUCUCUCGCGCGCGCUAUCUCUCUUUCUCUAACAACCUAGAAGAAAUUUUUAAGACAUUGGGGACGAGAGAGACAGCGACAAGAUGGAGGCAGCGAUGGCGUCCUCGGAGCAGGCGGACAGGCCAGGUCAGGACGAGGAGGACGACCAUGCAUGCAUGAUGGCGAUGUGGGAAGGGGAAGACAAGGUCGCCGUGGGUACGGUACAAUGUAGAAUCAGCUCGCCGGAGCUCCUCGGUCGUGACCGCAGCCGUAGUGCUCCUCCGAUGAGACCCAACCGUGCCACGGCAGGGCGGUGAGCGGCAGCGGCGGCGGCGCAUCGGGAGGAAGAAAAUGCAUGAAGAAAAGAAUCUCUCCCAAAACACUAGGGUCAUCGGGUGUGUGAUAUGACAGAUUCUAAUAAUAUGAUCUGUAUCUAGAUCAUCUCUCGGUACAUCAAAUACAAGCUUUACUGGUCAAUUAUAGGACCGCAGUUCCUACCCUAUGUUAGGGUAUGUACAAUGAUUGUCUUAAAUUAUGGCUUAGAGUGUGUCUAGAGUGUGAAUAUAAAAAAACUCAAGACAUUUAUCUUGACGAAGAAACAGUGUCUUAGCUCUAUGUUCGAGAAAAGAGACUAACUGAUUGGUCACUUUAAUUUAUUGAAUGAUCUGAUUGGUACAAUGAAUAUGGUAAGACACAUGUUUUAGACAUGACCACUGUAUUAUGUUGUGUUUUAGUUGUGUCUUAUACUUGGGUUACCGUGCAGCAGUGUCUAGGUUGUACAUGCCCUUACAUGGUACUCAUGUUGACUUCUGUUUCGUUUCGGCAGCUGGUUCCAACAAGGCAGUAACAUUGUUUAUGCCCCUGCUAAAGAAACUAGCUUAAGGGCACAAGUACUCUUGGUCAAUGAACUGAUCAAUCAUGCCCGUGGCCAAUUACCGCUAGACUUAUUGUAUUAUUCUCUUGGAGCUAUGCAGAAAAUAGUGUGAGUAGAGCUGAUCUCAUAGGCCGGAAAUGCCGGACUAUCGCUACCGUCACCAAUUACCCGAACGAAAAAAAAAAGAGGCGAGUUUUCAACUGCCAGAGCCACUCCAGCGCGCUCUAAUCUCGCGUCAUGGGUAUGCUUAGUUGUAUCGUCAUUCACGCUGACAUGAACAGUCGCCAACGUUGCCGAAUGCUGAAUCAAGGGUCCAUAGCUAGAGAAGAAGAGGUCUCAUUACUAUCUAAUCUAAAAUUAAAGAAGAGAAGAGGUAUCAGCCAUGAGCCCAAGAACCCGGUUUAUGAAGUUCUUCAUACGUACUCCAUGUUUCUACACUUGUGCACCAAAAAAAAACCUAGUUUAACAAAGUUUUCGCUGACAAAAGUGACAAAGAUGGCCGGAUUUAAGUUUUCAAUGCCAUGUAUGUAUGCAUCCAUUUCUUUUUUUUUUGAAAGGAAGGGGCAAAAGACUUGCCUCUCCGGAAUAUAUUAUAUUAGAGAGAAAAGAAAUGGGUAAUACAAAACCAAAGCGACUGGAGGCAGAGGAAAAGAAAGACAAAUAAAGAUGAAAUAAAAAGAGCAAAAGAAGGACCCACUAGAGCAGACCAAAAGGCCACAGCUACAAGAAAAAUCCGAAGACUGCAAGGGCCACUUGAUUAACGCUUCUAUGCUGACUUUGGAAAAUUCUGUUAUUUCUUUCCAGCCAUAAAUUCCACCAAAAAUGAAUUAGCAGGCCGUCGAAGCGUCUUCUUGACUGACUGUUGCAAAAGUUACGAAGACCCGUCCACCAAUCAUAUAAAGAUGUAUCGCUGAGAAUCCCAUAUGAGGGAGGAAGGUUGGCCCAGGACAACACUUUGUUCCACACCUCUCUACUAAAGGGGCAGUCCUUGCAUAAGUGAAGAAUAGUUUCUGGGGCCGAGUUACAAAGACAGCAUAUUGGGUUGCAAGGCCAACCCCUUUUAAGAAGGUUAUCAGCCGUUAGAAUUUUGUUAUGAAGUAAUGUCCAGGCAAAAAAACGGCACCUCGGCUCCGUCUUAGCCUUCCAAAUGGGGCAGAGAUUCAUUGUACUGUAAUUAGAUGAGAAUUGGAUGUUGUAAGCACUGCUUGCACUGUACUGCCCAUCUGCCGACCAUCUCCAAGUAAUGGUGUCCUCCAAACCAUUGAGCUCUUGCAUGUUACCUAUGGCUUGCCAAAGAGAGACGAACUCUCUAAGCUCAACCUCCCCCGAGCAUGGGAAGCAUAAUCGUAUCCAAUUGUUGUUAGUGAGAGCUUUGUCAACCGUGAUGUUCUUCCUCUUUGUCUUCCUGAAGAGUGAAGGCGCAAUGCUCUUAGGGGCUUGACCUUGGAUCCAGCUAGAAUUCCAGAACUCAGCUGUCUUUCCAUUGCCAACCGUCACCAAUGUGGAUGCAUUGAAGAGAUCUUCAUCAGUCUUGUCACAAGGAAGCUUCAUGGCAUUCCACGCCCUGUCUUUGCUUUUCCAUCGUAACCAAAGCCAUCUCAGUCUUAACCCCCUCGCAAAACGAUCAAGGUCCAGAAUUCCAAGACCCCCCUUGCUCUUUGGGAGGCAAGUUGUGGCCCAGUUGAUAAGGCAGUGACCCCCAGAGCAAGCCUCAGGAUUAUUCCCUUUCCACAGGAAGUUUCGUCUCAUUUUGUCAAUUGAAUGCAGCAACCAUUUUUGAGGCGGAAAAAUCGUUAGGUGGUAGAUAGGCUGUGCGGAUAGCACCGAUUUUACUAAAGUUUCCCUACCAGCCUUGGACAGCAGUUUACCUUUCCAACCAGCCAAUCUGUUGUUAAUUUUUUCGAUAAGUGGUUGGAGAUCAGACCUUUUAACAUUCCUGUAAUGAAGGGGCAGCCCUAGAUAUUUUCCAGGGAGGCUAGAGUACUUUGCAGGGAACACGUCCAUUAGCGUUGGCCAUAAUGGUGCCGGAUAUCGGAUUGGGAAAAUUUCUGUUUUGUCAUAGUUGAUCUUUAGUCCUGAACACCCCUCGAACGCGUUGAGAAUCCCUUUCAGCACCCCCAAGUCUGAUUUGUCCGCUCUUACAAAAACACCCGCAUCAUCCGCGUAGAGAGAGCACCGAAGCUUAGCUCCUCUAGGCAAAACCUGUCCAAGCAGUCCAUCCUGAGCGGCCUUCUCAAUCAUCCGAUGCAGCGGGUCCAUCGCUAAAAUGAAUAGGAAGGGAGAAAGAGGGUCCCCUUGUCGAACCCCACGUCUGUGCUUGAUUGCCUUUGAACGUUGCCCAUUUAAAAUUAUUCUUGAGGAGGACGAUCCCAGGAUUUCAGCUACCCAAUUGCGCCAAUUCUGGGAGAACCCACAGGCCCUUAACACAUCUAAGAGAUAUGCCCAAUUCAGGGUGUCGAAGGCUUUAGAGAUGUCAAGCUUGACAAAAAGAGCUGCAUCACCUUUUUUAUGCAGCUCCCUAAUCACCCUCUGCACGUAUAGAAAGUUGUCAUGUAUUGAUCGGUUCUGGAUGAAGGCGUUCUGAGCGUUGGAUAUAAUUUCGUUCAUUCUUGGCGCAAGCCUAUUUGCCAUGAUUUUUGUUAUAAUUUUCAUGAAGCUAUUGAUCAGACUUAUCGGCCUAAACCUAUCAAUUCUGUCAGCAUUUUCCCCCUUGGGUAUGAGGAUGAUGUUUGCUUCGUUGAUCAGAUGCAGGCUUUUGGAUCUGUGAUAGAAAAAAUCAUUUAUUGCCAUGGAGAGGUCGUUCUUGAUCAACUCAAAGCAGCAUUUGUAGAACUGUCCAAUGAACCCAUCCGGCCCAGGAGCCUUUUCAGAUUGAAGCCUCAUGAUCACGUCCUUAAUUUCACUAUCAUCAAUCAAGUUGUCCAGCUCAGCAAGCUCAAAAGGAGCAUACCCCAGAUGGUCCCAGCAAACAGCACUGCUCCUCCUUCCUGUCAUGCCAAGAAUCUGACCGAAGUGGUGCUGAACCUCGUACAUCUUGGCUUCCUGGCUCGUUAACAGCGUGUCAUCUCUAAUUAGUGAUCUGAUUAAAUUUUUCCUUCUUCUAUUAUUGGCCGCCAAGUGAAAGAACUUAGUGUUAGCAUCGCCCAAUCGCAUCCAAGUAAGUCUGGAAUGUUGUCUUGCUCGUGACCUCUGAGCAGAGGCAAUAUCCAGAAUCUUGAUUUUGAGGAUCCUCCUGAAUUCCAAUUCUUCAGAGGAGAGUUGUCUACUUUCUUGUGCUUUCUCCAGAAGAGUGAGAAUGAUCUGAAUGAUAGCCAUCCGCACUUUGAAGUUGCCAACUGUAUUGCGUCUCCAGAUCGAAAGAGCCUUGGCCGUGCGAGUCAUCUUCACAUGAAGGCGAAGGAUUGCGUCAUCAGAGUUAACUGUAGAAUUCCAUGCUUGAUGGACUACCUCAUUGAACCCCUCAAUCUGUGGCCAGAACGAUUCGAAUCUGAACCCCCGGUAGAAUUUGACCGUAGAGUGGCCUUGUAUUAACAGUGGGCAGUGGUCCGACGUCAUGGUGCACAUGGAGAGUAGAUCAGCUGCGGGGUACAGAUCAUGCCAUUCAGUUGUCGCGAAGAAUCUGUCAAUCCUAGUCAUGGUAGGGUUAGCUUGUUCAUUUGACCAGGUAAAUGCUCUAUCGGUGAGAUCUAGCUCUAAGAGGUGUAGAUCAUCAAUUGUGCUAUUGAACUGCCUCAUCACCCUUCUGUUGAUUGACCCUUUGUUUUUUUCUUUUGCUCUCCUAAUCAUGUUGAAGUCACCUAAAAUUACCCAUUCUGGCCUCACCAUGGUUUGAAUAUUUCUGAGCUCAGAGAGGAAUAUCAUUUUUUCAUUAUCCGGUUGGGGGCCGUAAACACCCGUGAGAUCCCAAACUUCAUCCACCAAUCUGGAAAAAAUCCGGACAGACAGCGAAUAGGCUGCAGAGCCUGGUAAGAGGGUCAAGUCAAAGUAGUCCGAAUCGGCAGCGAUUAGGAUGCCACCCGAAGCGCCCUGAGAAGGUACAUGAAAAGUUUGAUUUGCAAGCUUGGCACCAACAGUUUCCUUUAAUAAUAUAUUUGACCAGCUCGAGAUCUUUGUCUCUUGAAGGCAAACAAUGGAUGCGCCAGUGGAUAGAAUUGUAUGCCUUACGCUUGCUCUCUUAGCAUGGUCAUUUAACCCCCGCACGUUCCAGGAGAAAAUAGUGCAAUUCGGAUUCAUAAAGCAAUAGAAACCACUCUAGAUGAGACAGAACGCAGCCGCCAAUCAAAUCCCAGCCAGGGACCCUGCUGCAGCAGACCAACUGUGGAUAAUAAUAUCGAACAAGGAUUCGCCGAAUUAGAACAAAGCCCAGAACCAAAGGACAAUCUGGGAGCACAGGGAUACAGAGGCACGCUAUAGCACUGCCCAAACACACUAAAACUAGCAGGAAUUAAAAUGAGAAACAAGGGUGGGGUGGACCCGGAACCGCGCCAAAAGCGCCUAUCCAUCUGAGGAACCAUUGAUCAGCAAAAGAACCACCAACAAACCCAGUCGCAGCAGCUCAGAACCCCUUAGCCUUCCCGGCUUCGGCGGUUGGCAUCACCUUUCGACCCUUCUUUUUAGUCUUCCCUGCCUUCACGUUGUCUUGAUUUAUCAGCUCCAUGAUUGCCUCCAUUUGGCACUUGGUAAGAGGCCUUGUGAAUAGACUUGCGAUCUGCUCAAAUGACUUAUUAAAAUCAGUACAGUCUGAAGAACUAGAGCAGUCUGGAAUUUUAACUGCAGAAUUGUUAAGUUUGGCGCGAAUGAUUUCCUGGGCUUUGGAUAUUGCAUCUCGGUUAGUACCAGUGCUAAAGUUUUUUUUCGCAGCCAGCCUAACACUUGAUCUUCUAGUGAUGUGUUGCUUCUGAAAUUUUAAUGUAUGUGAUGAAUUGGUCGUGCUACUUUUCGGGAAAGCAGGGAUCAGUGGUGGUUCUGGUGGCGUUGUUAUUGCCGCGAUGAAGUUGGUCAACUGGGCAUUAUCGGGUAAGCUGUUCCCUGUCCUCAGAGCAGGAGUAGUACUCAAGGCUUCCUGAUUAAUGUUGUCAACAGGUUGACACAUUGGCUGGAUAUCGCUAACGCCCGGCUGAAAAUCUGGGCAGGAUAAAUUGUGGAUAGCUGGGGCACUCAUUUGGCCGAUCCGUUCAGCAGCUGGCAGGUUGAGGUGUACAGUUUGAUUAGCGUUCAGGAGUUGGGAGCCAAGCAGCUCAACCGGUUGGGCAGCUAAGGACUUGGCUGGACUAGAAAUAUCCAGGUUUAGAACAUUGUCUAAACCGUCGAGGACAGUAGCUGGCAAGAUGUGAUCUACAGCUUUAUUGUCGUUUGCCAGGUGGGUGCCUAAAAACUCAGUCGGUUGGAUAGCAGGGGCCUUGGCUGGAACAACAUUGUUCAGGGCCAGAACACUGUCUAAACUAUUUAGAAUCGAGGCGAAAACAUUAUUAAGAUCCACAGUAUUAGUUACCUUGCACUUGGAGGCAUCAGGUUCCUUGGAGGUUUCCUGGUUGGCACCGUCAACAGACCCUGGCGAGGCACCCACACCAGCAGCAAGCUCCAGGUCGCCUACCUGCGGCCAGACAGCAGAAACAGCAGGGUCUGCAAAAGAAACGGUGCUGCCCUUUCUCUUGGGCACCCAGCAGCGAGUUGGCGUGGCACCCACACCAGCAGCAAGCUCCCGGACGCCAACCAGUGGCCAGACAGCAGAAACAACAGGGUCUGCAAAUGAAACGGUCUUGCCCUUUCUCCUGGGCACCCAGCAGCGAGUUGAUGAUGCCAUCCCCAGACAAUGGCGACGGAACGGGGUUGAAUGCCUAUGCUUGUCGUUGGAGCUAUAGCAGUCCUCCAUCCCACCCCGGCAUCGCGAUGAACGCGCCCAACCGGAAAGACUUCGGUGCCUACGGUUUCCACUGCGUCUGCCACGCUGAAAGUUCCCCUCAUCAUCAUCGUCAUCCUGGCCCCAGCCACGACGCCCAGUCUCUCUACCUCUGAAAGUUUCUGCAUGUUCUCUUUUUUCGCCCAUAGAGUCUGGGGCGCCAUAGCUCCAGACAAAUUCUCUUCGCUGCUUGCGAUUAGGGGGGCCCCCCCUGGAUCCCCUCCCACGGAGGAAGGAGAGGUCUUCCACCACCUCGAUGUGAUUGCGAAGAGUGUAUACAUGACCAGUUUUCAGAUCGGAAGGUUCAUCAUGAAGAGCACCAGCAAGCGGCAAAGGAGCGCUAACUGGUGGAAGCUCCCUGUCCGGUUCUAAAACCGUAAGCUGGACCUCUUUGGGUAUGUCACAAGGGUCAGAGCACCAUGCCCAAAGAUCGAAGGACCUAGUGCGCUCUCUACGCCUUGUGCCCUCCUGCACAUAGUGAAUUGCACAGCUCUUGCCUAAGGCCUUCGAAGCCACUUCUUCCCCCCAACAGUGAACCGGAAUACCUUCAACCCGGACUUUAACUCUAAACUCCAGGUUCGUUUUCCUAGCAUUGCUGUCCUCUGACCAAUCUCCAAAAUGGAAAGUCCUAUCACGAUAUGAGACCGAACCCCUAUCAAGCGCCCACAGCUUCGACCUUGGAUCCGAGAAUAUGAUAAAAAACUGCUCAGGAAAGUGCUUGACUAGCUGAUACUGACCGUGGCGAAGGUUGAACUUCUCCCUUAGCAUAUCACCUGCAGCUAAAGUGUCAACCUCAUGGCUAUUGCCGUCGAAGGAGCAAACCACAGCCUUGUCAAUCAGCUCGUCCCUGCGGCGACGGAAGGAGCCGGUCGCCGAGACCGAGCAGAAGGCACGCGAAGGUCUUCCCCGGGGGUCUCCAGGGUAGCGAGCCUCCAUUCCUCGGUCUCCCUGCACAACCUGGAGGUAGGAUUUCUUGUGUAUGGGGGGCGGUUGACUGAGUGGCGCCUUACUGCGUUGCUCAAGGUUCCUACCGCAAUGCUCAAGGUUCUUAUGUAGAUCGUCAGUCCAUAGUCGUGCCUCAUGGUAGGUAGGGGUCCUUGAUGGUUGUUCGACUGGCUUAGGAAAAAACCCAGCAGCAGUGAAUGUCCCCUGAGAGCUUUUCCGGUUGCAGUAUCUCGCUCGAUGUCCGGAUUGAAGGCAAAGCCAGCAGCGCGAAGGAGCCUGGCAGCAAAAAGCUAGAUGAUCUGGUGAGAAGCAAUUGUAACAUUUGCCCUUUAGCUUCAAUUUGAAAAGACCAGUGCCCUUCACGUCGAAUUGAUGAUAUUGCCGUGUUCGCUCAGUAGACGUCCAGCUCUUGCGCCACCAGUACCGCGGUCUGACCACCGACCAGUCCCCUUCAAUGCCAUCCGACGCAGCAGGGUAUGGCCUCUGUCCAUUCAAACGCGGCGCGGCAUCGAGACCAGCAGCACGCCGAUGUGACCAAACGUUGCCCGAAUUCAAAUCCCCUUCCGGCUUGCAGGAGAGCUGGAAAUCCGGAGUGCGAUCUGCACCCACCUCGGCCUUUCCAGACGCCAGGAUACGCGGCAUUGAAGUCUGCCGAAGAGGAUCACCAAGAGCUGCCUGCACUGGACGCGGAUCUGCUUUGGAUUUUGAUCUUGUAUCCACCCGGGUCGUCGCAUAGGAGCCAUCGCCAGCUGCGGCGGACCAUUGAAGCUUUGAUUGAUGAAAUGGGACGCCCUUGUCUUGGGAAUCAUGAGCUUGCUUGCAGGAAUCAUCUCUGAUAAGAGCCUGAGAAAUAGGGAGCUCCUUCGCCGAACUUACCGGGUCGCUGAGUGGGGAGUCCGUCGCGCGCAGGGCCGCUCCGCGCCCGCCGAGAAGGGAGGGGCGAGCCCAACCCGCGGCGGACGGAGGAUCUCCCGGCGACUGGAAAGGAGGACCAAGGGAAGCGGCGGCGCCCUUCCCCAUCCCGCGCUCAACCCUAAACCUCGAACUGAUCUUUACCAAAACGCUCUAUAAGCAUGAAGCCAAAUUCAGGCCAGGACACAUGGGUGAGGCUCUGCUGAACCUGAAUGUAACCAUCGUCGUAUGCAUCCAUUUCAUUCCGCACUUGAUUAAGUUUGCGUCCUAGUCAUUAAUUACUUUGUGUUUGAAUAUUGAUUUUGUUCAAGCGAAUUCCCAACUGCUUGCUGUCAUCGUCGAUCAGCAUACAGUGGACCGUGGUCCUUUUACGUACCUCAAGCAAACUAACGAGUAAUGCGUAUGAAUGCCUUAUUCAAAUUAACGCGGCUGCCACUGAGAAGUUCCACACGUACACCACCAUCUUCCUAUCAUUGAUACUAGGCAGAGGUGUGUGUUUAGUCGUCAUUUUAGUUGAAACAUCUUUGGCUUCGAGGUAUUUAUUGAGCAGAGGCCCUCUCCCUAUACACAUCAAGCAAGAGUAAAGGUUACUGAGGUCCUGGUCCAAACCUCAAGAACUAAUUGCUAGUCGGCUAAUAAAUUGUUAGCUAGUUUUAGCGAGGUUGGAGCAGCUAAUAACUAACCGCUAUUUGAGAGGUAUAGUUAACACUUAGUUUGUCAAUUAGCUGACCCGUUGUAAAUCUCUAUGCUGAUUUUAGCUGUUAACUAACAGUUUUAGAGGUCUAGAAUAGGGUUACCAUAACCAAGCGAACAAAUAAAGAAUUUUUUUCUUAGUUUUGCCAAGUAUAUAUGCUUCCAGGGAAGUUGUGGUCAGGACCACGUACAUAUAUAGUAGUAAACUGGAGGACGUACGCGUGUGUCCGGUCCCCCAAUUUUCUGGUAUAACUAGCUAAAUGAUAUUUGUUAGGUGAACUCAGAAUAAAUUAAAAUAAACCUAUGCAUUGGAGCUGACAAUUCCACGAACAAGAAACAGCCUGUAGACGCACCCGGUUUGAUGAGGCAACCUUAUGUAUUGUAUACACUUCUUGUCACUAAUUAAUUGAAUCUAUGUAACCACAUCUGAAUUGAAUCCAAAACACUUGGGUUUUUUUUCCUCUUCAGCCAUCUUCCUCCGACGAGAUCCUACCGCGGCCGCAGUGACCUUCAUCUUCCUUUUCCCCCGCUGCCGACAUGGCCAUGGUCGCCCCAGGCCCCAGCCCUAAACCUGGUUCAGCCGCCUCCACCGCCUCACAGCUAUCUACCCCGUCCCCACACCGUUUGGUCCGUCUGCCUAAAUAAAAUUUCUCCGUGUGGAUAUUCAGACGUGCAAAACAAUGGUUUACAAUGAAGACUACAUUAUUUACAUAGUAGAGUUUAAAAUAAAGAUUAAGAUAAGAGAUGAGAUAGAUAAAGGAUUGUAGAUAGUCUAAUGCCAUCUCUAGCAAAUCUACUAUCUUUUCUUUUAUGUCGUCGUCUAUUUUAAAUUUCACUCUACAAAAAGUGAUGUUGGGGCCUUCGUCUUCCGAAGGUCUUCAAAAACAUGAUUUAACAAUAUUUCUGAGUAUGAUACACAAACAGGUACCUUCGGACUCUAUCAGAACCACAAUCUAAAGAAGGACAAAGAAUACGAAGGUUAGCGUAGAGCCGAAACUGUGCGCAGGGGAGCUUCGGCAUGGUAGCAGAAACGGGAACCGACUUAAAAAGGAAAAGGCUAUUUAGACCUUGAUGGAUUACUAUAGAGUCAUUAGCAAAUGUAAAGGGCAUGAGUGUAAUUGUACAUGGGCUGCGUCCCGUGCCUAUAAAUAGAUGAACAGUGCUCCCGUACUGUUCACGCGGACUUGACAUUUUGCUUUUGCAUCACACUUGUACCCUUACCUUAUUUUGAUCCGAAGGUACAUUUAUAAUUUGAUAUCAUUUCUAUUUUCCAUAGUAAUAAAAUAGAAAUGAGUUGAUAUAUAAUUAUUCAUGUUAUCUUUUACAUUUCAUAUGAUUCUUUCUUCAUUAUUAUAUGUUACAUCGAUGAAGGUAUGUCCUUCAUAACCUUCGUCCGAAGAUCAUUAUAUCCUAAAGGAAAUAAUGCCUCGAAGGACGAAGGGCUUUAACGUUUAACAUUUUUCGUGUUGCCUUGUUCUUAACUCAUAGCAUUUGGGAACAAGUCCCCAACAUUGGCGUUCACCUCCGGUGAAUCCUUUUCGACCACCUUCGGCAAGCAUUGACCUUCAUCAUGCCACCGAAGAAAGCUUCAGCGACAGGGACUGCCGCUCUGCAGCCACUGGACCCGAACCAGGAAACCCUUUCUCUUCGAGAGGCCCGAAGCCAGAAGAGGAAGGCUACUAGUCCAACACCCCAGGAGGACGAGUUGGACCAAGAGAUCAGAAACAUGGAGAUGCUUCAUCAACAAGUACAAAGGAAGAAGGAGAAGAUGGCUCGACUAGCCGACCUUCAAAGGCAGAUUGACGAAGCUACCGAAGAAGUACGCCAUCUUGCUCAAGAUGAACAAGAACGAAGGCCCCAGCACAGGGAGCUUUCAUCAAGAAGGCUUGUUCGAUGAUGAUGGAUGGUAUGAUGAUUUUAAUCAUAGUACCUUUACUUUUGACGAUGCUUCUCCCCUGGCAGCAGAACUGCAGGCUAUCCCAUGGUCCCCAUCGUAUAAGCCACCUCAGCUUCCGAUGUAUGAUGGGCAUUCAGACCCGAAGCAGUUUUUGAUGAGUUAUGAAGCAACUAUAUCUUCAUACGGAGGCAAUACAACUGUCAUGGCCAAGUCCUUCGUUAUGGCAGUGAAGAAUGUGGCUCAAACGUGGUAUUCUUCUCUUCGGCCAGGGACUAUCACUUCAUGGCAGAAGCUCAAGGACAUGCUGGUGACAAGUUUCCAGGGCUUUCAGACGAAGCCAUUCAUAGCUCAGGCUCUGUUCCAAUGCACGCAGGAUCAUGAGGAGUAUCUCCAGACAUACGUCCGAAGAUUCUUGCAUUUGAGAGCACAAGCGCCUAUUGUGUCCAAUGAAAUUGUCAUUGAGGCCAUGAUCAAGGGGCUUCGUCCAGGACCUACUGCCCAGUAUUUUGCUAGAAAGCCUCCACAGACUUUGGAGAAUACAUCCGCGCUGAUAACGAUUUUCGUCAAAGAAGGGAGGAAGCCUAUAGGUUCUCUGAGAUGACCAGGGGCUUCGGAGGGAGAAUCCACCCAAGACAUGUCAGGUCAAUCCACUCCACCUAGAGUGGCGACAGGGGAAGUCAACAACAAAGGCCACAAUAUUCCUCGCAAGCUUCGGGGCAGCAACAAAGCUAUCUUCGGCCGCCAGCUCCAAGGGGCAGAGGCGCCAGGGGCUUUGGAGGAAGGUUUGGCGAUCAACCCAGGAAGAAUUAUUGCUUAUUCUGUGGUGAGGACAAGGGCCAUACUACAAGGAUGUGCUAUGUCACCAUUCAGAAACAGAAGGAAAUAGCAGAAGCUGCAGCUCAGCAGAACCAGCCGAAGCAGGUCAUGCAUACUGCUUCAUAUCACUCACCCUACAUACCAGAGUAUGUGGGUAACCAUCCUGCAAUGUCUGUUGCUUCGGCUAGUCAGCCACAGGCAUCCUGGCCAUAGCCUCCACCUCCGCCACCACUACAACCUGCAUAUUCACGCGGCCAACAGCCAGAAGGGAGUCAACAGACCCAUCAGCAGAGAGACUUUAGGGAGGAGUCCGAAGCUCGCACAGUCAACAGUACUGUGCCAGAGUCGAAGCAUAUCUACUAAGAGAUAUCAUACCUCUGAAUCAGUUUUUACAUUCAUUGUCAUUCUCUUUCUUACUAAGGAACAAUUAUUGAAAACCUAGUUUUCUUGUCGUUUUCAAUUCCUUGUAAUAGCUUCGUUUUUGCCAUAGUGGAAAUAUAUCUUCUCCACAGACUCACGGAGUCCAAAAAGUCGCCGAAGCACAAAACGUCGUUCUAAGGAACGCAGCGUAAGUUGUCGAAGCUACAAAAAGUCGUUCCUAAGGGAGCGCAGUGUAAGUUUUCUGCUCAAAAGUCGUUCCAAAGGGAAUGCAGAGCAAAAUACCGUCGAAAUAUAAGGCGAAGCGCGAAAAGUCAACGCGAAUAUCGUCGAAAUAGAAGGCGAAGAAGUUCAAAAGACGUUCCUAAGGGAAUGCAGAACUUACAGCGAAAAGUCAGCUCUGAUACACCGAAAAAUAAACGGUGAAGCCAAAAAAUAAACGACAAAGAGAUUGUGUAUUCCAAUAUAGGGAUAUGAGUGUGUGUCUUCAGCACAAAGUAUCAUUUUUGCAUAGCAUAAUAUCAUCACAUCAUUUCGCAUAACAUAACAUCAUACAUCAUAUUGCAUCAAUGGCACAAGAAGGGGAUAUAAUGUUGACCUUCGGAGAAUGCUUCGAAAAAGUGAAAUUGUGCUAAGGCACAAAAUAAGUUCUGAAGAGAUAUAGCUUUAUCAGUGUUAUAGCUUUAUCAGUGUUAUCAGCGCUGAUAUAAAAUAAGUGGAGGAAAAAGUCUAUUAUUGACGAAGCAUCAGUGUUAUGGCGACGCUUGGAGCAUUUUUUAUUAAGCACUCUGAUAUCGAGGAAGAAAGUCUAUUACUGACUGUCGGGGACCAUAAUUAGGGGUACCCUCAAGACUCCUAAUUCUCAGCUGGUAACCCCCAUCAGCAUAAAGCUGCAAAGACCUGAUGGGUGCGAUUAAGUCAGGGAUCAGUCCAUUCGAGCGACUCGAUCACGCCUCGCCCGAGCCUAGCCUCGGGCAAGGGCAGCCGACCCCGAGGGAUUUCCGUCUCGCCCGAGGCCCCCUUUCAACGGCGGACACAUCUUCGGCUCGCCCGAGGCCCUGCCUUCGCUAAGAAGCAACCCUGACUAAAUCGCCGCACCGACCGACCAAAUCGCAGGAGCAUUUAACGCAAAGGUGGCCUGACACCUUUAUCCUGACACGCGCCCUCCGGCAGAGCCGAAGUGACCGCUGUCACUUCGCCGCUCCAAUGACUGGUCUGACAGAAGGACAGCGCCGCCUGCGCCACUCCGACUGCAGCGCCACUUGACAGAGUGAUGCUGACAGGGAGCCAGGUCCUGCCAAAGGCACCAUAGGAAGCUCCGCCCGACCUAGGGCUCGAACUCGGGCUCCGCCCCGGAAGACGGCGAACUCCGCUCCGCCCGACCCAGGGCUCGGACUCGGGCUCCGCCCCGCAAGACGGCGAACUCCGCUCCGCCCGACCCAGGGCUCGGACUCGGGCUAAGACCCGGAAGACGGCGAACUCCGCUCCGCCCGACCCAGGGCUCGGACUCGGGCUAAGACCCGGAAGCCGGCGAACUCCGCUCCGCCCGACCCAGGGCUCGGACUCGGGCUAAGACCCGGAAGACGGCGAACUCCGCUCCGCCCGACCCAGGGCUCGGACUCGGGCUCAGCCCCAGAAGACGACGAACUCCGCUUCACCCGACCCCAGGGCUCGGACACCGCCCUGGCCUCUGCCGACGACCUCCGCCUCGCCCGACCCAAGGGCACGGACUCGGCCUCGGCCAUGAAGGACAGACUCGACCUCGGCUUCGGAGGAGCCUCCACGUCGCCCGACCUAGGGCACAGGCCCGCCACGUCAACAGGAAGCGCCAUCAUCACCCUACCCCGAGCCGACUCGGGCCGCAGAGAACAAGACCGGUGUCCCAUCUGGCUAGCUCCGCCAGAUAGGCAAUGAUGGCGCCCCGCUAGCCCUGUGACGACGGCGGCUCUCAGCUCCCUUACGGAAGCAGGGGGACGUCAGCAAGGACCCAACCGCUCCGACAGCUGUCCCUCCGCCAGGCUCCGUUGCUCCUCCGACAGCCACGACAUCACACCAGCAGGGUGCCAAGAUCUCUCCGGCUGCCACAUUGGCAUGUACCUAGGGCGCUAGCUCUUCCCCCGCUAGACACGUAGCACUCUGCUACACCCCCAUUGUACACCUGGAUCCUCUCCUUACGCCUAUAAAAGGAAGGACCAGGGCCUUCUUAGAGAAGGUUGGCCGCGCGGGACGAGGAUGGGACAGGCGCUCUCUUGGGGCCGCUCGCUUCCCUCACCCGCGUGGACGCUUGUAAUCCCCUACUGCAAGCGCACCCGACCUGGGCGCGGG
rnacentral:lncRNA from 1 species